CUGGGGUAAAGGUGAUAAGCCGCACGCUGAAAGUUAGAGUGACUGGGAGAUGAGGAAGUGGCUACAGAAUAUUCAAGGACAUUGUGAUGCAUGGAAUCCCCUCUGCAGUUAUGUUUGCUUGUGCAUCUCCGGCAGCUGGAGGACGAAUCAUAUCAAGCUGAUGAGUGUGUCACACUUUUCAUCCCCCAAUUGCAGAUAUUGACCUUCCGAUGAAAUAUUUUCUUUGUGUGAGAAGGCUUUGCCAAGGUUGCAUUUAUUAGGCAGGUGCCUGGUAAGUGUUUCUAAGCAAAUA
rnacentral:lncRNA from 1 species